GACGAACGCUGGCGGCGUGCCUAAUACAUGCAAGUCGAACGCUUCUUUCCUCCCGAGUGCUUGCACUCAAUUGGAAAGAGGAGUGGCGGACGGGUGAGUAACACGUGGGUAACCUACCCAUCAGAGGGGGAUAACACUUGGAAACAGGUGCUAAUACCGCAUAACAGUUUAUGCCGCAUGGCAUAGGAGUGAAAGGCGCUUUCGGGUGUCGUUGAUGGAUGGACCCGCGGUGCAUUAGCUAGUUGGUGAGGUAACGGCUCACCAAGGCCACGAUGCAUAGCCGACCUGAGAGGGUGAUCGGCCACACUGGGACUGAGACACGGCCCAGACUCCUACGGGAGGCAGCAGUAGGGAAUCUUCGGCAAUGGACGAAAGUCUGACCGAGCAACGCCGCGUGAGUGAAGAAGGUUUUCGGAUCGUAAAACUCUGUUGUUAGAGAAGAACAAGGACGUUAGUAACUGAACGUCCCCUGACGGUAUCUAACCAGAAAGCCACGGCUAACUACGUG
rnacentral:rRNA from 1 species